rnacentral:ncRNA from 1 species
GUGCAGUGAAGAAAGGAGAGAAGAUUGGCAUCUCCCCUGCGCAAGGACGGAACUUAUUAUCGGGUCUUGACCCGAAAAAAGGCAAAUUGACACGUUUUUUU